GCCAGGAGUUGUGGCGGGCACCUGUAGUCCCAGCUACUUGGGAGGCGGAGGCAGGAGACACGCUUGAGCCCAGGAGUUGGAGGUUACUGUGAGCUGUGAUGCCACCGCACUCUACCCAGGGGGACAGCUUGAAGCUCUGUCUCAAAAAAAAAGAUUAGGACUUUAGGGUUUUUAUUUUAUUUUUUUGAGACAGAGCCUUAAGCUGUCCCCCUGGCUAGAGUGCCGUGGCAUCACAGCUCACAGCAACCUCUAACUCUUGGGUUCAAGUGAUUCUCCUGCCUCCA
rfam:Otolemur garnettii contig002959, whole genome shotgun sequence.